GUGGGGAAUAUUGGACAAUGGGCGAAAGCCUGAUCCAGCCAUGCCGCGUGUGUGAAGAAGGUCUUCGGAUUGUAAAGCACUUUAAGUUGGGAGGAAGGGCAGUAAGUUAAUACCUUGCUGUUUUGACGUUACCGACAGAAUAAGCACCGGCUAACUUCGUGCCAGCAGCCGCGGUAAUACGAAGGGUGCAAGCGUUAAUCGGAAUUACUGGGCGUAAAGCGCGCGUAGGUGGUUUUGUAAGUUGGAGGUGAAAUCCCCGGGCUCAACCUGGGAACUGCCUCCAAAACUGCAUGACUAGAGUACGAUAGAGGGUAGUGGAAUUUCCUGUGUAGCGGUGAAAUGCGUAGAUAUAGGAAGGAACACCAGUGGCGAAGGCGACUACCUGGACUGAUACUGACACUGAGGUGCGAAAGCGUGGGGAGCAAACAGGAUUAGAAACCCUUGUAGUCC
rnacentral:rRNA from 1 species